rnacentral:rRNA from 1 species
CGUCUCCGUUAAUGAUUUUAGGUGCUUGCACUUGAGAGAUUUAACAUUGAGACGAGUGGCGAACUGGUGAGUAACACGUGGGUAACCUGCCCUUGAAGUAGGGGAUAACACUUGGAAACAGGUGCUAAUACCGUAUAACAACCAAAACCACCUGGUUUUGGUUUAAAAGACGGCUUCGGCUGUCACUUUAGGAUGGACCCGCGGCGUAUUAGCUUGUUGGUAAGGUAACGGCCUACCAAGGCGAUGAUACGUAGCCGACCUGAGAGGGUAAUCGGCCACAUUGGGACUGAGACACGGCCAAACUCCUACGGGAGGCAGCAGUAGGGAAUCUUCCACAAUGGACGAAAGUCUGAUGGAGCAACGCCACGUGAGUGAUGAAGGGUUUCGGCUCGUAAAACUCUGUUGUUGGAGAAGAACAGGUGUCAGAGUAACUGUUGACAUCUUGACGGUAUCCAACCAGAAAGCCACGGCUAACUACGUGCCAGCAGCCGCGGUAAUACGUAGGUGGCAAGCGUUGUCCGGAUUUAUUGGGCGUAAAGCGAGCGCAGGCGGUUUUUUAGGUCUGAUGUGAAAGCCUUCGGCUUAACCGGAGAAGUGCAUCGGAAACCGGGAGACUUGAGUGCAGAAGAGGACAGUGGAACUCCAUGUGUAGCGGUGAAAUGCGUAGAUAUAUGGAAGAACACCAGUGGCGAAGGCGGCUGUCUGGUCUGUAACUGACGCUGAGGCUCGAAAGCAUGGGUAGCGAACAGGAUUAGAUACCCUGGUAGUCCAUGCCGUANACGAUGAGUGCUAAGUGUUG